rnacentral:rRNA from 1 species
GAAAGUAAGCAAGGGCAGACGGUGGAUGCCUUGGCUCUCGGAGGCGACGAAGGACGUGAUAAGCUGCGAAAAGCCCGGGGGAGGCGCAAAUAGCCGUUGAUCCCGGGAUAUCCGAAUGGGGCAACCCGGCAGGUUGAAGGCCUGUCAUCCCGAAAGGGAGGCGAACGUGGGGAACUGAAACAUCUAAGUACCCAUAGGAGGAGAAAAUAAACAAUGAUUCCGUAAGUAGUGGCGAGCGAACACGGAAGAGCCCAAACCCAUGUCGUCUAGGCGACACGGGGGUUGUAGGACCACGACGUGGCAAGAUAGAGUCAAGUGGAACGCCUUGGAAAAGGCGGUCAUAGAGGGUGAAAACCCCGUACACGACUGACGAUUGAAGCCUAGUGGCAUCCUGAGUAGCGCGGGGCACGAGAAAUCUUGCGUGAAUUAGCGGGGCCCAUCCCGUAAGGCUAAAUACUCCCGAGAGACCGAUAGCGAACCAGUACCGUGAGGGAAAGGUGAAAAGAACCCCGAGCAGGGGAGUGAAAUAGACCCUGAACCCGUCUGCCUACAAGCGGUCGGAGCGUCGUAAUGACGUGACGGCGUGCCUUUUGCAUAAUGAACCUACGAGUUACCUUCCCCGGCAAGGUUAAGUUCUUGAGGAACGGAGCCGAAGCGAAAGCGAGUCUGAACAGGGCGCCAAGUCGGGGGGGGUAGACGCGAAACCGAGUGAUCUACCCUUGGCCAGGUUGAAGGUUGGGUAACACCAACUGGAGGACCGGAUGGGUAAGCGUUGAAAAGCUUUCCAAUGAGCUGAGGGUAGGGGUGAAAGGCUAAUCAAACUCGGAGAUAGCUCGUACUCCCCGAAAUGCAUUUAGGUGCAGCCUCUUUAUAGUAUAUCGUGAGGUAGAGCGACUGAUUGGAUGCGAGGGCUUCACCGCCUAUCAAGUCCAGAUAAACUCCGAAUGCGCGAUAUAUAUUUACAGGGAGUGAGGGCGCGGGUGCUAAGGUCCGUGUCCGAGAGGAGAAGAAUCCAGACCACCGGCUAAGGCCCCCAAAUGAUCGUUAAGUUGAACUAACGAGGUCGGAUCGCAGAGACAGCUAGGAUGUUGGCUUGGAAGCAGCCAUUCAUUUAAAGAGUGCGUAACAGCUCACUAGUCGAGCGAUCUGGCGUGGAUAAUAAUCGGGCAUAAACGAUCUGCCGAAGCCGUGGAUGUCGCAAGACAUGGUAGGGGAGCAUUCCAUGCGGCGUCGAAGAUGAGGGAUGACCCUUGUUGGAGCGCAUGGAAAAGCAAAUGUAGGUAUGAGUAACGAUAAGGGGGGCGAGAAACCCCCCCGCCGAAAGACCAAGGUUUCCUGAUCAACGCUAAUCGGAUCAGGGUGAGUCGGGACCUAAGGCAAAGCCGAACGGCGCCGCCGAUGGAAGAAUGGGUUAAUAUUCCCAUACUGCCUCAUGGAGUGACGUGGAGACGGAGAAGUGACAGUCCUGCCGGCUGACGGAAUAGCCGGUUGAAGGGUGUAGAUAUUGAUUCCCGUAGGCAAAUCCGCGGGGAGAGUCGAACCUGAGAGUAUACGGAGCGCUUGCGCAACGUAAUAUGGACGUAACCAUGCUCCCGAGAAAAUCCGCUAAACUUAUCCAUGCGGCACCCGUACCGUAAACGGACACACGUGGUCGGGUUGAGAAUACUGAGGCGCUCGAGUGAUUCACGGUUAAGGAACUAGGCAAAUUGACCCUGUAACUUCGGGAUAAAGGGUCCUCGUCGUAAGGCGAGGCGCAGAGAAUAGGUCCAGGCAACUGUUUAACAAAAACACAUGGCUGUGCUAAAUGGAAACAUGAUGUAUACAGCCUGACACCUGCCCGGUGCCGGAAGGUUAAGAGGAGAUGUCAUCCGCGAGGAGAAGCGUUGAAUUGAAGCCCCGGUAAACGGCGGCCGUAACUAUAACGGUCCUAAGGUAGCGAAAUUCCUUGUCGGGUAAGUUCCGACCUGCACGAAUGG